rnacentral:rRNA from 1 species
GGGGAAUAUUGCACAAUGGGGGAAACCCUGAUGCAGCGACGCCGCGUGAGCGAAGAAGUAUUUCGGUAUGUAAAGCUCUAUCAGCAGGGAAGAAAAAUGACGGUACCUGACUAAGAAGCAACGGCUAACUACGUGCCAGCAGCCGCGGUAAUACGUAGGUUGCAAGCGUUAUCCGGAUUUACUGGGUGUAAAGGGAGCGUAGACGGUGAUGCAAGUCUGGAGUGAAAGCCCGGGGCUCAACCCCGGGACUGCUUUGGAAACUGUGUGACUGGAGUGUCGGAGAGGCAGGCGGAAUUCCUAGUGUAGCGGUGAAAUGCGUAGAUAUUAGGAGGAACACCAGUGGCGAAGGCGGCCUGCUGGACGAUGACUGACGUUGAGGCUCGAAAGCGUGGGGAGCAAACAGG